rnacentral:lncRNA from 1 species
GUUAACUUUCUACCAGUAGGCUUCAUGCCAGGCGAGGUAUCAUUUUUCCCUCCACGGCCAACCUAAAGGUGUAAUGCUGCCCUAAGCUUUCUAUAAUUUCCUGUAGCAAAUUCUCCAGAGAGGUGGCUGUGUACCUGUGCCUGACACAAGGCACAUGCAUUGCAGGUGAGCCAUAGCACAUAGUGUAGAACUGGAAAUCUGGGAGAUAUAUGUAUCUGAAGCUGGGUUUGCCUGGGUGAAGCCUUCACAGCCCUUCAGGAGUUUUGGAGUACCUGGGCCUAGCAUGAGGCUGAAGCUAAGAUCAUGUGCCCUACAGAAAAACAGAAGUCUGGCAUUGCUUCCUGUGAGAGCCGAAAGCCUGGAACUGGAGCCAAAGGAUUAUGUUAGCUUCAUACAAUUACCCAUGCUGAUGUUUGCAUUGGUUUUGAUGAGACUCUUAGUACCUGCAAGUCUGAAGCUGACUCUUACCUCUCUUCUGUCCGAUACCACAACUAAUUUUGGAGUGAGGAAGAGAACAUGCAUCAGGUCUGGCACAAAAUAUCAUUAUGGAACCUCUGAUUCCAUUACAGCCGUGGAGAGCAGAACGAAGUCAAGAAGCCUGUAAAGAAGGUGGUUCCCGCAGGCAGCGAGCUGUGCACUGACCCCAGGCUUCUGCAGCGACUACGUCUGGAGGAGUUUCUCCACUUGCUGGAAAGAAAACAUAAGGAGAAUUUUAGUGGGCAAAAUAAAGGCAUCUCUGCUCAUGUGAAUGCUCACCCAUGAGCACAACAGAGCAACACAUGUGAACCACAGAUUUUGUUUCUCUACUUUUCUUGCAGUCAUUCAUACUGUUACCUUUUUCAAUGUAUUGAUCUGCUUUUUCUGUAAACGGUGACCCCUUGUAAAGGGGUAAAUUCAGCUUGGAAGUAAUGUCUAGUAAUGUCUAGUUUCUGAUAUGCCUUUUUUCAAGGCUCACUGAGCUGAGGAAAAGGGUAUUUAAAAAGCAGACUUUGAAUAAUGCUUUAUUCAUUACACUAAAUAGCUUAUUCAUUUACUAAUCUGACCAAUUCUAACUACUGCUCGCUCAUUGUAUUCUCUCUGACUCACGAAGGAAGAAAAUAGAGACAAGUAGACUGUGUUGUCUGUGCCUGGCAAUUACGGUGCACAUCAGUGGUAGCAGGAUGAGUGGAAGUUCAAAUCCCUUUCUGCUGUAUUCUAUUAAUUCAAGAAACUGCUUUGUAUGAAAAUGCACAUAGGGCAGCACUUAGCACACAUAGUUCAGAGCCAGGAAGGUUGAGACAAUCAGCUGUAGAUGUACUCAGUUACUUCCUGCCAUCAUCUUUCCUCCCACGAAAUCCAGACUACUCAUGGAAAUCCUGAGCUAUUGCAGACUUUUUUUCUGGAAAAAUGACAUGUCACCAAGAUCUUUCAAAUUGCAAGAAAAGCUUUUGUUUUUUGUUAACUCUUUCAAGAAUCUCUUUUUACAACAAAAAACAAAUGCUUCAUUUUCCUUCAGAAGAGAAAAUUGUGUGAAGGAGGAAAACUUACAUAAGAAGCAGUGCUAUAAUGUUACUCCAAAAAUGUCAAACACACAUUUGUUCUUCGGAACAAAAAUUGGAAUUUUCUGUUUUAUUCUCCUGGUAAACCACUAGAUACAGUAUUUUAAUUAGAAGUAACUUUUGAUGACUGAGACAGAAACUGGACCAUGAAAAAGGGGUUCUUCCAGGAGAGAUGUUCAAAGUCCAUUAAGACCACCAUGAAAAUCUCUGUGGCCAUUUCAGUGACUUGCUUUGUUACCAAAUCUGCUCACUUCUUAAACUAGCUAGCCAAUUCAAUCCUUGCUUCAUUUUAGAAUGGGAAAAUAUUUAUUUAACAAGAAAACUGAGGAAUAGUACUUAUUUUUUAAAAGUCUACAAACACCAGUACAUAUGAAAGUGUAUGACUACUGAUGAACAAAGCUUUUGUGCCAAAGAAAACAAGGAACAGGGAAAACAAGAAAACAAGGCUUUAAGGUAGUGUUCCUGCUUUGUCAUGUAGAUCUUGUGCUGCAAAUUUGGAAUUACAAAAUUGAGGUGAUUGUAGAAUUUGUAUAAGUACCUGUUUUUCUUUCCCAUUUUCUUCAGUGACUUUAAACAGACCAAAACCCAAUCAAUUUUUCUGAAUAAUUCAAAAAUUUCAGUGGUGAUGGUGGUCUUAAGUCUCAAGGUAAUAACAUGAGGUUUUUGAGGCAAAGUUAUUCAAAUGGAAUUCAGGUGCUAACUCAGGACUUUAAAAUUUUCUGUUAAAAUAUAUACAAAGCAAUGAAAUUCAAUAUUUCUAAUGUAUCAGAAUAAUCUGCUUAUGCUGUUCUGUGCUGUUUUUGCUGUUUUGUGAAUCUCACUGUGGCUGGUAAAGAAUUUUGUUCAUUGCAGGUGAUCUGCAGUUCAAGGUUCUUCCUUAAGGAAUAAUUCUAAGAAGAUAUUAAUAAAAUUGGAAGAAAUUACCAAGGGCUUGGAAACAAGAUACUCACACCAAAAGGCACUCAGUAUGUUCUUACUUAUAGUAAACAACUUCUCAGGACUCUGGAAGUGACAUAAAGCCUUCAAAGACUCAACAAACCUGGAAAUAAACUAGCAGGAUUAGAAAAACAAAACAGCAGUUUCCAAUUUGGAGGUGAAUGUGCAAAUGAAUUGUAAGGAUUGUUUUCUCUUCUGACUGGUUUUCAACAGUGUUUUUAAAAUGAGCAGAAUGUUCAGCUGAAGCUCAGAAAGAGGGGAACACUUGUAAAGCAAAGGAAAGCAUGGUAACCCAUGGUAAAUACAUAGUAUGGCGGCAGAAUGAAAACAGCUCUGCUGGGAGAUCUGCUUAUUGCUCAGCUAAUUACUCUGUUCAUGAGAAAGCAGAGUGAUAUGCUCGGCGGAAGAUGAAAAAAAGAAGAAAAAGUAAAACUUCAAAAACCUGGGAACCACACCCAUCACCUGAAGCUUAGACCACACACCUGAAAGGGAGGAACCUACAUCCAGUCCCAGCACAGAGUAUGAACAUCCUUAUCUUCCUUUCAACUCCACCAUUUUGCAGUUAUUUUAUGUACUUACAGAGAGUGUUUGUAAGGGAGGAAUUGCUUUUUCAUUUCUUGCUUCUUCAAUAGUUAAAAUAACUUGUGAUAUCAGAAACUUUGAUGAGCUGCAGUGCUGCUCCUGCAUUACUGUCCCAAGUUCAGUCCAGUCCCAGCCCCAAAUGUGUCUCCUUUCUCUGUGAAGAUCCCACACAGUCAUCUGAACAGCCCUCCCUGCUGUACUGUGGGUGAAGGAGGAGGAAAUGCAUGUGCAGUGGAUGGAGGAGUUUAUUUGUGACCUGCUGUAUUGUACCAAGAGUCACAUAUAUGUUACAUGCCUUCUCUCCAAGUUAAUCCACAAAUCAAUAACUGAUUGUAUAUAGCACUCCGCUGUCAUCUACACAAGUUAAGAUAUGCCCUGAAACACCUGAUUCUAAGGAGUUACUUGAAAGACAGGAAAAUCCUCAUGAGCCAUAGAAUUGUUCUAAGUAUUAAACCAAUUCAAAGAAAAAAAAAAAAAAGGAAACAAAAGGCCCAAAGCCUUGUGUUGUGGACUCCAUGAUUUUAAACUGCUCCCACUUCUGGCAGACUGAAGGGAAAGAGAAGACAGCACUGUGGCAAAGCUCAGAGAGAGGGGCUGUCCCACCUGCCUGCAUGGCAUGAGAGCAUCAGUGCUGAUGCACAGCCUCUACUUCUCAGAGCUGAACCUUCUGCAGUUUUGAUCUUGAAUCAGUACAUUUCUCCUUGCAAUUUGUGAAAUCCUUCCGCUGGACAUACAAUAGAACAAGUAUUAUUGCUCCUUGGAGUUUUACCACAUGUUCUACCAUCACCUCUCUAUCUAAAAACGAACCUUAACCCUGUUCUCUUCUUAAGACAGAUUCACCUCACUGAUGGUAAGGAAUGGACAUGUAUAAUUCUGUGGUCUAACAGAUUUAUGCAACAUAAGCAUGAAGAAAUGAAAAUGAUACAUAAAUACAAAGAAGGACCAAAAAUUUCUAUGCCUAAAGACAACUUCUCUAUAUUUCCAUACUUAUAAAUCUAUUUUUAGGAAACAACAGCCUGAUUUCACCUUAAAUCAGAGCUCCAAAAAAUCUUUUGGAAAGGAACUCACCAUAAGAAAUUAAGAGUGAAUGACCGAGGAAAAAAAAAAUCUCUGUUUUACAUGGAAAAUAUUUUCUGAAUACUUUCUCAUAUUAAUACGAAAUGGGUUUUUACUUUGUAUUAACUAAUUAAUGAGACAAGCUUCUGAUAUGAACACAACCUUCUUAGCUUGGAAAAUUUUAUUGAUUUUAAGUUCAGAUGACAUAAGAAUGUUUUGCACAAGAGAAAAAGUCAUUAUUUUACACUAAGAAAAUAAUGCAAUAUUUCUCAUAUAAAUAACUGUUCAAGGGUGAUUCUGUGCUCUGAAGCCCCCCCAAGCUGUUUCUAAUAGCUUAACAUGUUUUCUGCAUAGAAGAUUUAUUAAUGGCUAAAUUAUGCCAUGGAAAAAACACCUUGUCAAACAACAAUCCCGUAUUUACCUGCAAAACCCACUAUCCUUACACACAGCAAUUGUAUUUUAUUUUCCUUGUGUUUUUGUUCUUGCAGUGCUUUCAUCACCCCUGUGGUUCCAUGUACCCUCCAGCGCAAUGCGCAUUAAGCAAUGCGACUGAUAUCUGUCAUGUGUAGUUUAAUUCUUUCUUAAUUAGCCUAACACCUCUAUCAGACUAAAAUCAGUCAUACGGUAUUAUAAUCUACGGCAUGUCUUACUUUGCGUCAUGUUUCUCUUUGUAAGGUGGUUUGUAAAUCGCUUUCCUUUAGCAACUCAGUAAGUCUAUCAUUACUGAAAGAGGAGGAUAAUGACAAAGCUCUGUCCCAGUCUGGCAAAUACUUUAGCUAACCUCAACCAGCAAAAAAGAAAGUGAAUUAGGGAAAAAGGUUGCUUUCACAUUAAUCUUGUCAAGCCAGAAUGAUCAUUCGGUUACACCCUGCUGCAAACAUCUGAUGUCUGAACUUGUCUGAAAUACUUCUUAAAAAUCAUGAGUUGGA